AGGUUUGAAGCAAGUGUUCUUUAAAUGGGUGAUAAUGCAAAAGAAGAAAAGGGAUCUAAGGUGCAGAUUUUCAAAAUUUCCUCCACCAUUCUCAUGGGGUUUUGCAAAAAGAAAGGGAUUCGGAGAAGAUUACAGCACAAGAACAAAAGAAAUUCCAGUUUCGAAUUCCUGUUGCUGCUAUCUAGAAUUUCCAUCAAAUAAUAAGCUUGGUGAAGUUGGCUACGGUCCUGUUUCAAAUCAAACCAUUUUGCAUGAUGGACCUCUGGAUUCUUGGUUGAGAUGGUGGUGUCGUUUGAAGGUCAAUAACCAAUAUCAUGAAUAAGGUUGCUAAAAUCUUAAAAGAUCGGCCAUAAUAGUUUCGUGCUUGCCAAGCUGUGGAUGUCCUUAAUGCUGAUAUCUACUGGAAACGGUGGAACCAUUGAACUUCUUUAUAUGCAGCUCUAUGCCCCUACUACUCUGGCACCAACUCGUGACUUUUGGCUAUUACACUAUAUGCUUGUGAUGGAAGAUGGUAGUCUCAUGAUCUGUGAAAGAUUGCUGAACAACACUCAUAAUGGUCCCAGUAUACCACCUGUUCAGCAUUUUGUAAGAGCUAAAAUACUGCCAAACGAAUACUUGACCAGACCUUGUGAAGGAGGUGGCUCCAUAAUCCAUAUAGUUGACCACAUAGAUUUAGAGCCAUGGAGUGUGCCUGAAGUGACCCGUCCACUAUAUGAGUCAUCAACAUUGCUUGCUCAGAAGACAACAAUGGCGGUAUGAUAUUUAGAUUCUAUGCAGUUCUUUCCUUUGUGCCAGCCAUGCCAUUGUAUUGGUUUUAGAUUUUAAUCUCAAUUUUUGGAAUGUAUUUGUGAAUGUACUAAAGUAUCCAAAAAGAGAUGAAUAUACCAUUUUGUUCUGGCUUUAUACCAAUUAAGACAGAUCUCACAUGAAGUUUCUCAGCCUACUAUCACAAUAUGAGGAAGAAGACCUGCAGCAUCACGAGCACUUAGCCAAUGAUUGAGCAAGGAUUUCACUGAGGCUGUAAAUGGUUCCACAGAUGAGGGAUGGUCUAUGCUUGACAGUGAUGGCAUUGAUGAUGUUACUGUUCUUGUGAACUCUUCUCCCGACAAAUUGAUGGGACUAAAGUUUCAUAUGUUAGCAAUGUAGUGCUAUGUGCCAAGGCCUCCGUGCUUUUACAGGUCAAGAGAUUAAAUGCACAGUAAGAAACAUUAUGAGGCUCCACUCGGAUCUUUAGAUUUUCUCUGAAAAGCAAAAGGAAUUGAUAAAUGGAUGAAAGUCAAGUUGUGGUACAUAUUGCCUCAAACUACAACUGUACAUACCACAGUAAAUUUAAAAAAUACUUUUUUUUUGUUUUGUAAAAUACGAUGAUAAGUUCAAGAGUUGAAAUUUAAGAUAAUCCCAAGAAAUUUGAUGGCUAGACCAAGUAACCAUUACCUUUGUGUUUAAUACUGUAGGUCACUAUCUUUGAAAACUGAAAUGAAUGUUAAAAUAUAAUUUUCUUUCUCACUGAAUUUUCAGGUUACGUACAUACAUAAUUUUCUGGCGGCAUGCUGCAUUUCCUGCUCUUUUAGUAUGAUUUAUAAAUCAUGCAACUACUAAAGAUUCCAUGUUUUGGCCUUGCAAGCUUGUUGUAUUGAAUAUAUCAUUCUGGAGAGUGAUAACUUAUCAUCUCUGUUUCCUAAUGCACAUUUAAGCUUGGGAGGGCUUGAAUUAAUUCAAAGCACCUAUUUGCUUUGCUCACUACCCUCACUAUUCUUCCUACUGUUUGGAUGCAAGAUCUCACUCUACUUAGAUACAUCUCAGGUGAGUGAUUUAUUGACUAAGGAACUUUUCAAAGGAAAGAAUUACAGAUUUAAGGGAGUGAGAAAAGCUUCUGUCCAAAAUCUCAGGUGUCUUUCAACUUUUCUCUGCUCUUUUUUGGUUGAUCCUUGUCUUUUUUUUGGGCUUGUUUUUCAUUACUGUCCAUGUUGAUGGUUUGUUUGUAGCCAUUUUCAACCAUUUUUUCCAAAGGGUUUUUGGUGAUUGACUGUAGUAAUUUUAUGACUUCUGUAGUUGUCUGGUGUUGAAUUUUUUUGGUUGAUUACCAGGUAAUUGCAUGUGAGUGCACUGAUUUUAGUUAGUUAUUUCCUUGUGAAUGCACUGAUUUGAUGGGAAAAUAGUUACUUUUAGCGUGUCAAGGGGUUAGAUUUUUUCCCCCUUUUGUUUUUCUUUGUGCAUAUACUUGGUGAAUUACUGAAGCAUCUCACUAUCUAUAUUUUCUUUCUUUUCAUUAUUUUUUCUUUUUGUGGUGCCUCUUGUGGAUUUUGUUCCUCGCGUACCAUUUUGUGUGCUUCAGAUAGUAUCAUGUUUAUUGAGAACUUUUUCCCUUUAAUUCUUAUAUUCAAUAGGUGAAAGCAAUGAUCCUGGAGGUAGAAGUAGAUGAUGGAGAUGGAAGAUUAUGUGAUAGUGAUUUGGAUGGAGGCUUCAAUAUUAUUUUUAUUAAAACCCUUGAGCAGCAAAUUGUACCAAUGCUUAAAUUAGGACUGAUUAACAUAUACUAUUACCAUAUACUAAUCAAUGGUGAACUUUAAUAUGCACAUUUAUGAUACACAAAGAUGACUAAAAGUUUUCAUUUACUAUGGUUAUACGAGUUUACUAUUGCUAUCCACAGAUUUCUGAUACAACUCAAGAUUAGCCAUAUUUCUUACUCUAAAAUUCUUGGAAAUUUUUCUGACAGUAUCUUGUUUCCAUGCCUUUUACACAUAGUGGUCAAGCCCAUAAGAAAACAUGGAGUGAUACAAGUUUACUAUAGUUCUGUACAACCCCCCUUCCCCGGUUUUAAAAAAUUCUGGUUUUCUUGUACUCUAUUACCUCAAAACUUCUUAAUCACAAAUCUGGUCUUAUUAGUUGUUUCAGCUUAAUGUUGGCUUGUGAAUUUUUUUCCAUUGGCCUAAAUCUUUUCCCUCUGUUUGAUGCAGGAAUUGUGCCCAACCGCUGAAUGUUAUUUUUCUGUUAGAAGCUUUGUGUUUCUCUUUUACAGUUAUUUUGGAUUUUGUUCUGUUUUUUCCCUUUAUGUGUACAUAGAAGUUUUGCUCCAAAGAAAACAUGUGGUGACAUGUUCACUGCUAUUGUCCAUGACUUUCCUUUUUUUUUUUUCCCAAAAAUCUGGUUUUCUUUCACUAUGUUACCUCAAAACCUUUUAUGUUGGUUACUUUUUUUUGGUGUAGUAUUUUUUCCCCUGAACUUGAAUAACA